GAAUAGUUUAAUUAAAAUAUUAAUUUUGGAGAUUAAUGAUAAAAGCUUUUUUUUUCUCUGA
rnacentral:tRNA from 1 species